CUCCUGAUAGCUCAGUUGGUAGAGCGAUGGACUGUAACUGUAAAUGUAAUUGCAAUCAUCUUGCGAGAUCCACAGGUCGCGUGUUCGACUCACGCUCGGGAGA